rnacentral:rRNA from 1 species
AGCUCCAAUAGCGUAUAUUAAAGUUGUUGCAGUUAAAAAGCUCGUAGUUGAAGUUUGGGCCUGGGCGGGCGGUCUACCUAUGGUGAGUACUGCAGCGGCCGGGUCUUUCCUUCUGGCUAGCCCUCGUGGCGAACCAGGACGAUUACUUUGAGGAAAUUAGAGUGUUCAAAGCAGGCCUUUGCUCGGAUAUAUUAGCAUGGAAUAAUAGAAUAGGACGUAUGGUUCUAUUUUGUUGGUUUCUAGGACCAUCGUAAUGAUUAAUAGGGACGGUCGGGGGCAUCAGUAUUCAGUUGUCAGAGGUGAAAUUCUUGGAUUAACUGAAGACUAACUACUGCGAAAGCAUUUGCCAAGGACGUUUUCA